rnacentral:lncRNA from 1 species
AUUAAAUGGAAUUAGAAAGCUCUGGAUCUGCAAUUUAAAUCUUCAGGAUUUGUGUCUUUAUUACUAAGUCCAUUAUUCCAAUAUACUGGUCAGAAGAGUGAACCAGGAAACAGAGAGGGGACGGUCUUUUAUGCGGCAGCAGGGAAAGAGCUGGUUGCCUGAUGAUACUUAACCAUUGGGAUUGUUGAGAAGCAAUUUUUCAGCUUGCAGAUCCUAAGGAAGCAGCUCCAACUCAGAUCCUUCCUCAUCAUUGUUUCUCAUCAGGACUGGACGAUUCUGCCCAUGCAGGUUUUUGGCAUCUAUGGAUCAAGUUUUUGGAAGGUGCAGAAUUUCUGUAGAUUAGAAGUUUUUCUGUUGCUGUCAUUGCAGGAGAAUGGAAAGAAUGCUGGGGAAAAGUAAAAGCAGAGCCUGGUGCCCCAUGAAUCCCUUCUGAAUUCUCUUGAAGGAUAUAGGCUACUCCUGAGGCUGGAUGCCUGAUAGCUCCUGGAAGGAGCCUCGUCUUAUUUCCCAGAGUCAUUGGUGAGAAGACUGGACUCUGCUUCCUUCUC